AGCAGCCGCGGUAAUUCCAGCUCCAAUAGCGUAUAUUAAAGUUGUUGCAGUUAAAAAGCUCGUAGUUGAAUUUCGGGGUUAGUAGAUUGGUCAUGCCUCUGGUAUGCACUGGUCUUACUGAUUCCUCCUUCCUGAUGAACCGUAAUGCCAUUAAUUUGGUGUUGCGGGGAAACUGGACUGUUACUUUGAAAAAAUUAGAGUGUUUAAAGCAGGCUCACGCUUGAAUACAUUAGCAUGGAAUAAUGAAAUAGGACGUUUGAUUCUAUUUUGUUGGUUUCUAGGAUCGACGUAAUGAUUAAUAGGGAUAGUUGGGGGCAUUAGUAUUCAAUUGUCAGAGGUGAAAUUCUUGGAUUUAUUGAAGACUAACUACUGCGAAAGCAUUUGCCAAGGAUGUUUUCAUUAAUCAAGAACGAAAGUUAGGGGAUCGAAG
rnacentral:rRNA from 1 species